UCGAUUCCCUUAGUAGCGGCGAGCGAAACGGGAAGAGCCCAAACCAACAAGCUUGCUUGUUGGGGUUGUAGGACACUCUAUACGGAGUUACAAAGGACGACAUUAGACGAAUCAUCUGGAAAGAUGAAUCAAAGAAGGUAAUAAUCCUGUAGUCGAAAAUGUUGUCUCUCUUGAGUGGAUCCUGAGUACGACGGAGCACGUGAAAUUCCGUCGGAAUCUGGGAGGACCAUCUCCUAAGGCUAAAUACUCUCUAGUGACCGAUAGUGAACCAGUACCGUGAGGGAAAGGUGAAAAGCACCCCGGAAGGGGAGUGAAAUAGAACCUGAAACCGUGUGCUUACAAGUAGUCAGAGCCCGUUAAUGGGUGAUGGCGUGCCUUUUGUAGAAUGAACCGGCGAGUUACGAUUUGAUGCAAGGUUAAGCAGUAAAUGUGGAGCCGUAGCGAAAGCGAGUCUGAAUAGGGCGUUUAGUAUUUGGUCGUAGACCCGAAACCAGGUGAUCUACCCUUGGUCAGGUUGAAGUUCAGGUAACACUGAAUGGAGGACCGAACCGACUUACGUUGAAAAGUGAGCGGAUGAACUGAGGGUAGCGGAGAAAUUCCAAUCGAACCUGGAGAUAGCUGGUUCUCUCCGAAAUAGCUUUAGGGCUAGCCUCAAGUGAUGAUUAUUGGAGGUAGAGCACUGUUUGGACGAGGGGCCCCUCUCGGGUUACCGAAUUCAGACAAACUCCGAAUGCCAAUUAAUUU
rnacentral:rRNA from 1 species